AUUUGAUGUUGAGUGCGUUUGAAGCAUAAUUUCUUGAAUCUUUCCCAGUAAUCAUAAAACGACUCUCUUGGAUGUUGUUUGAUACCACAUAUCUUCUUCCUCAGACU